GCCCUUUAACAAUAUAAAAGCUGAACAAAAAAAUCCUUCAAUUCUAACUCCAAUGCGCGUGGUUUUUGAGUGUAUACAUGCAUUUUGCCACGUAGGAUUGCAGUGUUUAUUUGUUCAGGUUUUGUAUAGUUAAAGGGUUCACUUAUGCACUGUCAAAGUUUAAGGUUAAUGUUAGCAGCUAAAAAUUAGCCCUAUGGCAACGGUUCAAAAACCGCUGCCAUAGAUCUACUGCAAUGGUUAGGCAGGCGUUGCGUAUGCGAGCGUUGGGAUAGGUCUAUCAUAACGGUUAUUGCGACGGUUAUGACAAUCGUUGCAAUAGAUAGAUCUAUUGCAACGGUUUUUCUAACCUCCUACUGUGACGCUUUGUAUCGUCUAUUUAGAAUCAUAUUUAUGUAUUAUGCUUUUUUUUUUUUGAAGUUGAGAAGGUAGAGCAAGGCUUAAAUGUAGGGCCUUGAUACCCAUUCGUUGAUGUUUAAUGAUGAAAAACAUACAAGAAAA
rnacentral:lncRNA from 1 species